AUUGAACGCUGGCGGCAGGCCUCACACAUGCAAGUCGAACGAGUGGCGGACGGGUGAGUAAUGUCUGGGAAACUGCCUGAUGGAGGGGGAUAACUACUGGAAACGGUAGAUAAAACCGCAUACCAUAGGAUGUGCCCAGAGGGGAUUAGCUAGUAGGUGGGGGAAAGGCGAACCUAGGCGAAGAUACCUAGCUGGUCUGAGAGGAUGACCAGCCAAAAUGGAACUGAGACACGGUCCAGACUCCUACGGUAGGCAGCAGGGGGGAAUAUUGCACAAUGGGCGAAAGCCUGAUGCAGCAAUGCCGCGUGAAUGAAGAAGGCCUUCGGGUUGUAAAGUACUUUCAGCGGGGAGGCGUUACCCGCAGAAGAAGCACCGGCUAACUACGUGCCAGCCGCCGCGGUAAUAC
rnacentral:rRNA from 1 species